rnacentral:rRNA from 1 species
AUGAACGCUGGCGGCGUGCCUAAUCCAUGCCAGUCGAGCGAACGGACGAGAAGCUUGCUUUUCUGAUGUUAGCGGCGGACGGGUGAGUAACACGUGGAUAACCUACCUAUAAGACUGGGAUAACUUCGGGAAACCGGAGCUAAUACCGGAUAAUAUUUUGAACCGCAUGGUUCAAAAGUGAAAGACGGUCUUGCUGUCACUUAUAGAUGGAUCCGCGCUGCAUUAGCUAGUUGGUAAGGUAACGGCUUACCAAGGCAACGAUGCAUAGCCGACCUGAGAGGGUGAUCGGCCACACUGGAACUGAGACACGGUCCAGACUCCUACGGGAGGCAGCAGUAGGGAAUCUUCCGCAAUGGGCGAAAGCCUAACGGAGCAACGCCGCGUGAGUGAUGAAGGUCUUCGGAUCGUAAAACUCUGUUAUUAGGGAAGAACAUAUGUGUAAGUAACUGUGCACAUCUUGACGGUACCUAAUCAGAAAGCCACGGCUAACUACGUG